CUGCAAAGCUGGUGUCGGCGAGAGUUUGGACUCGCAGCCGUAGUUCACGUGCGCAGCAUGCGGAGUCUUGGUGCACUGCUUUGCAGGUUUUGGGGCUACAUGGCUCGAUGUCGAUAACUGUCUGAGUACAAAGAUGCUGUAGGCUAGAUAAUGCCUUGAGUAACCUCCGUACAACCUCCCUGAAGAAUAAUGAAGACUUCAGAUUCAGAGAACAGCGUAAGACAAAAGCCUGUGCAACUAAAACCAGGAUUUGAUCUGCGCAAUGACUGUAAGCAGCAGCAAUGGAUGAAUAGAAGCUGCUUUAGAGUCCAGGAGGAAUUGGGUAAGACUUUUUUUCUCCCCUCCAUUUUACUCUGAGAUCAUCCCUUCAAGAGAGGAGCGAAUUAACACAUACAUCUCUUCUGUUAAUAUCUUAGCAGUUCAGGAAUUAAGAAUAAAAAUGGUAUUUGCUUAA